ensembl:lncRNA
UCCAACUGCUUCCGGGAGCAGAGCCUUCAAUGGCCCCCUGCUUCGCGGCCGUUCCACGGGUCUGGCGCUGUUUUCCCUCUGGAAGCCAUGUACCGACCGGACAGCGCGGCGCGCGGCCGCCUCCCGCCGCCCCCGUUCCCCCCGCCGCCGCACGGAGCUCCGUUCCCCGGGCCCUUCUUGCCCCCCCGCCCGGACAGCCUCUUCCCGCAGAGCCGGCCUCCGCCGCCUCGCUUCACGCCCCCCUGCAACAGCUACUCCGUAGCCCAUAAUACAGCACUUCCUCUGGGAGGGAGCCAGCAGAUGGUCCCACAUUGGAGUCCCUCUCCAGCGGAGCAUCCUCCUCCAGACAGCAGUGAAAAGGCUGGAGAGGAGUUUCUGAGAUGCAUUGCAGACAACAAACCUCUCCCUGACUAUCUCAAAAAGAACAUGGCCUUCGACCUGGCCGAGGCUUUGAAGUCGGCCAGUAUCCUAAAAGAAGCCGUCAAGUCAAACCCCGAGUUCCAGAAGCACAAGUCCAGGAGCAAGAGCCGAAGCCGCAGUCGUGGCAGGAGCCGGGGCAGAUCUCGAGCCAAGAGCCGGGCUAGGAGCAAGAGCCGGGCCAGGAGCAAGAGUCGGGCCAGGAGCAAGAGUCGUGUUCGGGGCAAGAGUCGGGCGAGAAGCCGGGCCAGGAGCCGGAGCCGGAGUCGGAGUCGGAGUCGGACCAGGAGGAAAGGCCGGGCUCGGAGCAAGAGCAGAGCUCGGCGGUCCAGGUCGCGCAGCAGUAGCGAUGCUAGCAGCAGCGAAGUGAGGAAGCGGCGGAGGAGGAGCCGCAGCGGCAGUGUGAGCAGCAGCUAUACCUCCACAGCCAACAGCCUGCUGGAGGGCCUGAAGAUGGUCAUGAGCAGUAAAGACCUGGAGGAGCGGCUGCCCAGUCUCAAAGACGCCAUCUUCAGUAUGAAGGCCUCAGAAAGAAGCGCCCAGGCGCAGGCUUUGCCCCGCGAGUCCACACGUCCGCAGGCUGCUGCCGAGGUCAACGUGUCCCUGCAGGAAAACGACAGCAUGCUGCUCCCCCAUGAAAGAGUGGGAAGUGACUUCUCCUGGCUCCAAGGCCAGAGCGAAGAGGACGCCUCCGUUCAGAAAGCCAAGGAGCUAGAAGAGGAAGAGUCCUUCCUGUACGGGAAUCCGCCGUGCUCGCAAAGCCAGCAGCCCGAGCCUCCGUAUCACAAGCAGCCGCUCCAGACAGGCCUGCUGGCGUCCGCCUCCUCCUGUCUGGACAGCACGGAGUUCGAGAAGGUGAAGAACAUCUUGAAGAGCCUGGGCGCGUCGUCGAGCGCGCCCGAGCCCACGGCGAAGGCGCCGUGUGCCGCACGCCUCGGCUCAGACACGGCGGCCAGCCUGGCGCUGCCCGCGCUGGCCAACCCCAACGUACGGCAGGCUCUGGAGUCUCUGCAGUCGCUCAUCAAGGCCACUAAAGACAAACGGGUGAAAAGUGAAGGCCCGUCUCAAACAUCAUUUGACAAAUACAAGGCAGGCGACAACGAGCAGAGGAAACCGGAGAAACAGGACAAGAGGAAGAGAAUGGAAUCCAUGGAGAAGGAACUGGAGGAUUUGCUAAAACAAGAUGGACUGAGCUUUUUGACGCCAGUCAUUGGAUUUUAUUGCCAGAAAUGUGAGGAGUUCAUUGGAGAUUUUAAUUCUGCUGAGAAACAUUCAGCCAUCCACAACCGGAGUCAUUCCAACCCCAGCAGUAAAAAAACACAUAUGGACAAGGAUGAAGGGGACAGCAAAGGGAAUUAUCAGAAACACUCUCAGAGAGAUCACCAUAAAACCUCAGCAAACAAGAACAGCGGGGACUACGAGAACACCCGAACCCACGAGAGAGACCACCGAGGAAAAUGUCACGACGAUGACGACUACCGAGCUGGGAAAGAGAGCAUCUUUUUAAAAGAUGAAAUGAAGAAGGAGAGGAUGCUGAUCACGGUGUCCCGUGGACAGACUCCUCCACCGUCAGGGGUCAGGGUCAUGGACGAACUGUCCGAGGAGCGAGCAGGAGGACACCACAGUGCCAUCAACGCAGAAGAACCAGAAAAGAAAGAUAAGUCGUCCAAGAAGAGCAGAGAAAGCAACGACAAAGGUAAAACUCAAAGCAGCGACAGCAGCGAGGACGAGAAUGAGAAAUCCCAGAAACCCAAACACGGUAAGAAGAAGAAGAAGAAGGAGAAAAAGAAGAAGAAAGUGAAGAAGGAGAAGGGGAAUAAGUCGUAAGUGUUGUGUUGAAGCUGUUCUGUGAGACUGGAGCUUCUCAGUGAAACCACACUGUCCCCGUUGCUGCCCGUUCAUGUCUCCUUCCUUCACGGUUUGCUCUCACACACACUCAGGAGGGCUCGUCUUGGGUUUUGUACAGAGCUUAGUUGAGCAGGUUUUGACCGUUUGCUGAUGACGCCACUGUUUCCCAUUGACUCUGCGAUGCUUUACUAGAGAAAAUCCUUUUCUCAGCUGGAGGAACUCAUGAAAGAGGAAUACACAAGUGUGUGUGUGUGUGUGCGCUUCUUGAUUCCUACGUGCCACUGAAUGUGUUGUCCCUUCAUCCUGAUUUCAUGCUUCUCUUUUUGAAGGCGGAAUAAAGAUUCAGCGAGUUUUCCUCGUCCAUUCAAUUAUUGUCUGACUCUGUUUUCUGAGGACCAACCACAUCUCGACAUUUACAGUUGUAUGAGAAAGUUUGGGCACCCCCUCAUGAUCUCCAGCAUUUAUAAAUCCUUAGGUGUUUUUAUCAGCAAAAUAGCAACUCUGCUUAGAUCUUUCUAAUAACUUAUGCUUAAAACUUAAGUAUUGAAAUGAGAUUUAUUAGAGUAACAGAAAAUUUGCAAUUUACAUUAAAAAAAUUCAAGUAAGUGUCUCCAUGUUGACACCACAGCAGGAAGAUAACAUCAGUAUUUAGUACUGUUCAUUCCUGUUUGCAGCUUGAGCUUCUCCGUCCAGCUUUUCCUCGUGCAGAGGACACUGGAUGGACGGCUGCACAGUGACGCCGUGAUGUCCGUUCUCGCCUUCGCCUCACCCGUCCCGCCUGCUCCACCCUGAACAGCGCUCAGCUCUGACUAGACAGUGAGCGACGUGCUCAAACCUUUUCAUACCACUGUAUGUCUGUAUUCCUUUUGUUUUAUGACUUGUUACUUUUUUAGAUCAGAAAUGUGAUGUUCAGCUUCUUUUUAGAAGACUG